rnacentral:lncRNA from 1 species
AAAUAAAUUCUGAUAUUCAAAAUAAUAUAUUAACCUAUAUAAUAAAUAGAUGAUUUUGUACAUCUUAGAGUACUUAUAUUAAUACUCAUUAUCAUUUAUAUUUGCUUUUGAUUUUUGAUGAAUUUAUAUAACAAUACACAUUUUCAAUUAAGCUCAAUUAAUUGAUAUUUUAAUUAUUCGAAAUAUAAAAUUGAAAAUUACUCCAAUAUGUUUGCAUUAAUUCAGGUUCUUGAAUGAGUAAUUGAUGUGAUAUAUUUUAUUUCUAAAAUUUAUUCAUAUUUACAUGAAUUUGAUUGUGUUUAAUACUCCCUCCGUCCCAUUAGGCUUGUCCCAUUUCUUUUGGACACGGUUAUUAAGGAGAGUUAAAUUAGUGUAGUAAAAAUAUGUAAAGGUAUGAGACCCAUAUUGUUUGUAGUGUAAAAUUAUUACUAAAAAUUGAAACAUAACAAGAUCAAUGAGACAACCUAAAAAAAAAAAUAAGACAAGAAAAAUAGCCAAGCGUAGCCCAAAGUCAUAUGCGUAGAGAAAUCCGAAGGCCCGCACGAUAUACUACUUAAAUGGGCUGCUAUUUAUUUGCUUAGCCAUUUUGUUGGGCUGUGUUUACCAUAAGAUUAGGUUUAAAUCUCCUUCCUUCCAAGUUCAGUUUAAAUGGUGAUGAAUUAAAAUAAUAUUGCUCGUGGAUUCUCUCAAAACAAACAUUAGUAAAAGUAAAAAUGCUCCUUUCCUUGAAUUAAAAUAUUGUUUCAGCA